rnacentral:tRNA from 1 species
GGACAGGUGGCCGAGUGGCUUAAGGCGCACGCCUGGAGAGCGUGUUGACCUCACAAGGGUCGCGAGGGUUCGAAUCCCUCCCUGUCCG